rnacentral:lncRNA from 1 species
CAAAGUGCUGAGAUUACAGGGGUGAGCUACUGCGCCCCAAGAAAUGACUUCAAAAGGAAAAAUGUGAGCACCAACGUAAGCUGGUGUAAUGUAACGUAAUUCCCACCAAUGUAAGUUGGCAGGAAUCCUUGCUCUGUAUAGAAGGGUCACAUUUUCUCAUCACUGCUUGCAAGUGUGACAGCAGUGGCCUCAUGGCCUUAUCUGGGGGAAAGCACUUCCUUCCAAGCACCAUGAAGGCCUCACGUGCUGAGACAAGAUGGAAGCUCCUAGUCUCCCCUGAGGACUGACACGUCCUGUGCUUCUCGGUCUCUCAGGACGCGCGGGCGGCCAUGCGCCCCUUCGACCCCUCCACUCUGCUGCCCACCUGCUGGGAUUACUGGACCUACGCGGGCUCGCUCACCACCCCGCCGCUGACCGAGUCGGUCACCUGGAUCAUCCAGAAGGAGCCCGUUGAAGUGGCCCCAAGCCAGCUCUCUGCAUUUCGUACUCUCCUGUUUUCUGCACUUGGUGAA